UUGUUGCUUGAUAUACGAGAUGAAAAGUGCUGCGUAUAUUAGGGAAUUCUUUUCAUUUGCUGCGUUAAGAAAAUGAGGUCUCCUCUUGUUUAAGUUUGCGAUGCUUGAUUUCCAAAAGUUUUCAAGUUUAGGAAAGUCACACCUGGUUUAUUCUCGACCUGCAAAAAAUACAAACGAGUUUAAAAUAAAGGGAAAAGAAAAAGCAUGUGAAUGCAAUCAUUGACUAAUUAUUACUGUUGCUUGUUGCCACCACAACUUUAUGCUAAGAACCUGUUAACGGUAUCUGAUUACUGGACGCAUUUUGAUUGUGAACUAGAAAGUUUUUGGCUAGAUGUAGAGUUAAAAGUUAAUGACCAAUUUCGAGUUCCGGUGAGAGUGUUCCACUAUGAAAACGAAUUGUUUGAAAUUCUUCUCAUGAUCGCGAAUGAAGCAGCUUCUUUGAACUUCGCUGUUAUAUGGAAUUAAUG